rnacentral:rRNA from 1 species
GACGAACGCUGGCGGCGUGCCUAAUACAUGCAAGUCGAACGCAGUUUCGAACUGGUGAGUAACGCUUAGGUAACUUCCUCAUAGCGGUGGAUAACUAUUGGAAACGCUAGCUAAUACCGCAUUCUUUGAUAUUGACCUGAUUUUUAGUAGCUAGUUGGUGAGGUAAAUGCUCACCAAGGCGACGAGACAUAGCCGACCUGAGAGGGUGUGCGGCCAAACUGGGACUGAGAAACGGCACAGAAUCAUACGGGAUGCAGCAGUAGGGAAUAUUCGGCAAUGGACGGAAGUCUGACCGAGCAACGCCACGGGAGUGAAGAAGGUUUUCGGAUCGUAAAGAUCUGUUGUUAGAGAAGCGGUAACUAACCAGAAAGGGACGGCUAACAACGUGCCAGCAGCCGCGGUAAUUC